ACUGGAAGCUUUUUCUAACAAGCAGGUUUCUCAGGUUGCUUGUGGGAGUCAGCACUCAGUUGCACUGACCAAAGAUGGUCAGCUGUAUACGUGGGGUCAGGACUGCAGGGGCCAGCUGGGUCUGGGUACGAGAAAGUCUGUCUGCAGAUCACCUCAACAUGUGCCAUCACUGUCAGCGAUCCCCCUGAUCCAGGUCGCUGCAGGAGGAGACCAGAGUUUCGCCCUCUCUGUCUCUGGAGGUGUUUUCAGCUGGGGGAGAAAUGACUGUGGACAGCUCGGGCUGGGAGACACAAAAGACAGACACACACCAGCUCCUGUUCAGUGUUUGAAUAUGAAGAAAGCUCAGCGCAUUUCCUGUGGACAGGA